UAAAGCUUGGCUCUGACUUAUUUGUAUAGCGAAGACUAAAGAAUACACAUGGUUUUUUUGGAUUGAGGCGAGGUGGAAUAAAAUAUUUAAUGGUAUAAAAAAUAUUUUAGAUAUUUUUUCUUGGGUAUUAUUUUGUGAGAAGAUGCUUUGAAAAGUCCCGUUAACACCAGUGUUGGAGGUUAAGUUAAAAGCGAUAGCUUGUCUUAGUUUAGUUUAAUAUAUUUGGUUAAUUUAGUGCCAGCAUCCGCGGUUAUACUAAAAGAUAGAGUUAUAUAUAGGUAGGUUAAAAGGUAGUUAGAUAGGAAGGAUAAUGAAGUAUAUUAAUCUUUUGUAGAAAAGUAAAAUUUGUAUAGAAAAAGAUGAACCUAAUAUUACUUUAAAAAUUGAAUCUGCGAUAGCCUUGAGGGAAACUGGGAUUAGAUACCCCAUUAUUCUAGGUUGUAAAUUAAUAAGGAUUUACCAGAGUACUACAAAUAAAUAAUUUAGAAGUUUAAAACUCAAAGGGCUUGGCGGUGUUUUAGACUUUUCAGGGGAACCUGUCUCAUAAUCGAUAAUCCGCGUUAUACCUAACCUUUUGUGGUGAAUCAGUUUGUAUACCGUCGUCGGCAGGUAACUUUUAAAAAUAGAUAAGUUGGCGAUAAAAAUUUUUUUAUUUAGACGUCAGAUCAAGGUGCAGCUUAUAAGAAGGUGAAGAUGGGUUACAGUUGUAUAGUUAUAAUAACGGAUAAACAAAGGGAUGUAUUUGUUUAGAAGGUGGACUUGAAAGUAAAAUAAAAUAUAUAAAUAUUUUGAAUAUAGCUCUGAAACGUGCACACAUCGCCCGUCGCUCUCGUUGAAAAAUGAGAUAAGUCGUAACAUAGCAGAGGUAAUGGAAAUUGUCUCUAGAUU
rnacentral:ncRNA from 1 species